UGGGGAAUAUUGCACAAUGGGCGCAAGCCUGAUGCAGCCAUGCCGCGUGUAUGAAGAAGGCCUUCGGGUUGUAAAGUACUUUCAGCGGGGAGGAAGGUGUUGAGGUUAAUAACCUCAGCAAUUGACGUUACCCGCAGAAGAAGCACCGGCUAACUCCGUGCCAGCAGCCGCGGUAAUACGGAGGGUGCAAGCGUUAAUCGGAAUUACUGGGCGUAAAGCGCACGCAGGCGGUCUGUCAAGUCGGAUGUGAAAUCCCCGGGCUCAACCUGGGAGCUGCAUUCGAAACUGGCAGGCUAGAGUCUUGUAGAGGGGGGUAGAAUUCCAGGUGUAGCGGUGAAAUGCGUAGAGAUCUGGAGGAAUACCGGUGGCGAAGGCGGCCCCCUGGACAAAGACUGACGCUCAGGUGCGAAAGCGUGGGGAGCAAACA
rnacentral:rRNA from 1 species